rnacentral:lncRNA from 1 species
AGCAUUUCUGAAUGUUUUGCUAUCUCGCCAGCACCUUCUUUCUCUCUCUGCCUGCCCUGCAGCCCAGCCUCAGUUCCAGAAAGGGGAAGGCUUGCCUGGACACUGUCAUGAAGUUCUAUCUGGGCUUCUGUGUUGCGUUCAAGUGCUGAGGGUCAUCAGACUGGCUCCCUGGUCCCUGAUGCUCUUUCCUCAUGAUCACAAAAUGGCUAUUACCGUUAUGAACGUACAUCUUUAUGCCACGAUCUCCAGGAGUAGAGAGAAGGUAUUUACUGGUGGUUCCUGCUCAAGUCUAAGGAUUCAUUCUCCCUCACUGGCUGAAACUGCAUUACAUGCCCAUGUCUAAACCAAUCACCUUGGGAGGGACAUGAAGGUAGGGGGAGGGAUUAGACUUAUUUAAACCAAUCAAGACCUUUACUUGGAGCUGAGGGUAGGACCACACAAGAUCUAACAGCCUGGCUGGACAUGGCCGGGGAGUUGAAAUUUCCAAAUGAAGAGGAGUACUUUUGGUGGGAAAUUAAUUUUUAGAGUACAACAACAACAACAAAAGUACAUCACACUUUCUCAGAGGGGACCUCACCGUGCACCCCAUCUAAGGAAGGACCCUCUGUUAUCCUCUAUUACUGAAUGCUAUGCAUUUCCCUCAUAGCACCUGCUACUGUUUGUACAGUUUUUUUUUUUUUUCACUUGUUUAUGGUCACUAGGCUCUAACUUCAUAAGAACAGAUGCCAUGUCUGAUUUGCUUGCUUAGGGCUGGAACAUACUAGAAAACUCAGUGACUAUCUAUUAAUACGAGAAAAGUGAACAAUUUUCAUCUUUUUCCAAUUUAGUCCUGGAGAUGCAGGAGGGGAGAGGUUGGAAGGGUAAGGGUGAGUCACUGUGAGUGCUGUGAGUGUUAAUUUGGCUUUUCUUUGUCUAGAAGCUUAGUCCUCUGUCUCUUCCAAUAAUCCCUCAAAUUCCCCAUCCCCAUGCCUUUUCUUAUUAACCCACCUGCUCCUGGCACUCCAGUAAUAUGAUGUUUCUUUGAGGUUUUUUUUAAAACCUAGUUUGAAUUAGUGUCCUAAUAGGAAUCUUGAUUUUUAAAAAGAGUUAGUUGGAUUGUUUUUCCAAAUAACAUAGGAACCAAAUAUUCUUUCUUUGUGUUUCCCCAGCUCCUAAAAAUGUAGUGGGUAUGCUUUACUGAAUGAAAAUUCAAUCUCCUUUAUGAAAAUUGAGACUGAAGUCAAUGCUAGGUAGUAGAAAGAGAGAGAAAAGCUGAGAGUGAGCCAGGAAAAAGAAAAAAAUUGCCAGGAAAGAAUAAAGUUUGUUAAACAGAGAAGAAGGAAGUCUUUGGAUUAAAGGGACAUAGCUGAAGAGAAGGAAAGUCAGAAUAACUUGGGAAAUAGAGUAAAAACUUACAAAAUAGAAAUAGAGCUGGAGGACUCAUCCUUCCUUCUUACAUUUAUCCAUUUAUUCCUCAAUACUUAUUGAGCACUUAAUAUGUGCCAGACACUCUUCUAGGAGCCGAGGAUACAGGGGUGACCAAAACAUACCAGUCUUUGCCACUGUGGAGCUCAUAUUUUAGUGAGGAAAGAUAGACAGUAAGCAAAUACAUGGACAGAGACUAUAGGCUCCUGGAUACAAAUGCCAGAUUGAAAAGACAUAUCUACUCUUCCUCCCUCCUAAGACUCCACAGGAUGAGACAAAUGGAGUAGGGGUUUGGGAUGGGCAUAUGCACACUGUGGUAUGUGGAAUGAUUAGCCAUCAGGGACCUGCUGUAUCAGCGCGGAGAGCUGUACCCAAUGCUCUGUGAUAAUCUAUAUGGGAAAAGAAUCUGAAAAAGAAUGGAUGUGUGUAUGUGUAUAACUGAAUCACUGUUGUUGUACACCAGAAAUUACCACAUCAUUGCAAGUCAACUAAACUUUAAUAAAACUUAAAAAAAAAAAAAA